rnacentral:lncRNA from 1 species
CUUUUUUAAAUAAAAUAACUAUUCUUUAUGAGAGCGUGGAGUAAGCAAAAAUUAUCGAACCACGUAAAUCUUAUCUUGUGCAAUUUAUUAUUUUUCUCUUUUAAAUAUUUUUCCCUUCUAUUAGCCUGAUAUGCUUUCUAACAACGGGUAUCAAAGCAUGAAUAGUGUAAUUAUGAUAGAAAAGUACGCUUGGUGCAUGUACUAUUCACAAGAAUAGUGUGACACUAUCGAUC